rnacentral:rRNA from 1 species
GUCCAGGGACAGUGCCUGGUGGGUAGUUUAACUGGGGCGGUUGCCUCCCAAAAUGUAACGGAGGCGCCCAAAGGUUCCCUCAACCUGGACGGCAAUCAGGUGUUGAGUGCAAGUGCACAAGGGAGCUUGACUGCGAGACCUACAAGUCAAGCAGGGACGAAAGUCGGGACUAGUGAUCCGGCACCUCUGAGUGGAAGGGGUGUCGCUCAACGGAUAAAAGGUACCCCGGGGAUAACAGGCUGAUCUUCCCCAAGAGUCCAUAUCGACGGGAUGGUUUGGCACCUCGAUGUCGGCUCGUCGCAUCCUGGGGCUGGAGCAGGUCCCAAGGGUUGGGCUGUUCGCCCAUUAAAGCGGCACGCGAGCUGGGUUUAGAACGUCGUGAGACAGUUCGGUCUCUAUCCGCCGCGCGCGUCAGAAACUUGAGGAAACCUGUCCCUAGUACGAGAGGACCGGGACGGACGAACCUCUGGUGUACCAGUUGUUCCACCAGGAGCACGGCUGGAUAGCUACGUUCGGACAGGAUAACCGCUGAAAGCAUCUAAGCGGGAAACCUAUUCCAAGACCAGGUUUCUCACCCUUUUAGAGGGAUAAGGUCACCCACAGACUAUGGGUUCAAUAGGCCAGACCUGCAAGCGUAGUAAUACGUUCAGGGAACUGGCACUAAUCGACCGAAAACUUACUAAUAA